rnacentral:lncRNA from 1 species
UUGAAGAGAGCCAACCUCCUCCUCAAGGCUCCACCUCUCAGUGCCACUACAUUAAGGAUUAGAUUACAACAUGACACUGUGGAAAGAGGACAUUGAUGCUGAAGCUACAGCAGCUGCAUCCAACAUUUGUCUCUAAUAUUAAUCAAGUCGCAUUGUCUAGGUCAAUUCCAUUACCAUAUACUUUCAUGUGUGUGUGUGCGCACACAUGUAUUUUAAUUUUUAAAUCUAUUUUAUGUAUACAAGUCUUUCACCUACCUUCAUGUCUGGUCUGGGCACCAUGUAUAUGCCUAGUGCCUUUGGAGGCCAGAUGAAGGUGUCAGAUUCUCUCGAACUGGAGUUGCUGACGUUUGUUAGCCUGUAUGUUGAUGCUCUGAAUUAAAAGAAGGUCCUCUGGAAGAACAGCCAAUAUUCCUAAACACUGUGCCAUCUGCCCAACAUUCUCUAAAGAAUUGGUCAAAGGAUUUUUUUUUUAUAAAGGUUGCGACUCAAAUCAAGUCUAGAGUUUUAUCCAAAUAUUUGGCUUUCAGUCUCUGAAUGUCUAGGUAAUUUCUGCCUCUUGGAACCAAAAAUGUCUGCCUUUGUCAUUUCCCAAGGGUUCUGUCUUAGUGUCUUUUUUUUUCUCCCCCAGUUUGAGUUUCUAACCAGAGAACUCAUUUUAAUAGCUUGAGCUUACAGAGCAGACAUAACAAUUGAAAUGACCCAACUUUCACAUAGGCAUUCCACCCAAGGCAAGGAGAUGCUGUAUAAGACUUCUGAAAGAGGAGGGAGAGAGAACAGACAAAAGAAGCUAUAGGCAGCAGUUGAGCCUGACCACCCUUGGGAAAGUAAGCCAGUGGUAAAGUGAAGGCAGCAGCUUCUUCAGGCUUUACAGUUGGUUGAAAGUCUCUUUCCAUGCAGCCAGUCUAACAUUCAUCUCCUUAGAGGCCUUGUGUUUGAUGAUUCAGCUGCUUCCCGGCUGCCAGCAGAGGUUUGGCCAACUGUUUGAAAAACACUGUCUGCCCUAGACACUUUUUUUUUAAUCUCUGCCUGUUGUUGGGGGACCUCUUCUGAAAGGGAAUACCUUGGGGAAAUCAGAUUCAAACUCCAAGGAGUUGAUUAUUUCCGACUCUUCUGCUUCCCCUUCAAAGGUGAUUAAAGCAAAAUAGGGAUUGUUGGCGGCAAGUGCCUUUCUAGUGUUGGUAAAAGCAGAUAGUGUGUUAUCAGGAAAUGAUCUCUCAGUAGAUUGCUUUCAGAUCAAAUGAGAAAUGUGAUGUGUUAGCAGACUCCUUGGACAUGAAGGGUGCAGCUGAGGCCUGCCAUUGCUGAACUCCCCGUAGAUCAACUUGUUCAAAGAUGCAGGUUAAAGCAUAAUGGAGAUAAGCGUUUGGGGAAGCAAUUGUGCAAGAGCCUCAGCUGCAAGCUGGACUCUUGAACUUCACCACUGGUUUCUGAAAAGUCUCCGGGAGCUUUGGCCCAAUGUUUUAAGAAAGAGAUCUGACCCAGAAUGUGGGCUUCCUUGUCUAGCAAUGAACCUAGGACCUUCAUUGUAGUGAGGCAGUUAAGAGGGAUGUUCUUUGGAGUCAGGUGGUCUGAGGUUGUAGUUCAGCACAUCACCACUUAGUUCUGUAAAAUUUGGUGGCUCAGUGUCUCUUCUGUGCCCCACUUGUACUACAUUAUCUAUGGGAUUGUGAAACUGAGAGGAUGAAUGAGUUGAUAGAGAAGAGUGUUUCCGAUGGUAUCUAAGAUAUGUCUGUGAGAGGGAGAAUGAUAGUGUAGAUAGAUGGAUAGACAGGUAGAUCGAUAUAUAGACAGACAGACUGACUGACUGAGAAAGAAACAGAGACAGACUCAGAGACAGAUGCACAAAGACAGAGAGGCAGAUAAAGAUAAUCAUAAACACACAUAAAAGAGGUUGACUUAUUUUCCUAACUUUUCUGUCUCUCACAAAGGCAGAGAACAGGAAAAGAUUCCAUGUGUAUUAAGGAGUCUCUAGUUGCAGGUGGACAAGGAGUCGGCAAAUGAAAGACAAAAUCAACACGAGGGGUUGUGUAGAAUCUGAAUGUAUUGUCACAAAGUGAACUCUAGUCUUAUAUAAUACAGAAAACAAAAAGGUAGGAUGUCACAGCAGGCAAAGUACAGGAAAAUACAACAAAACAGGAGAAGGAAUUGAACAAGGCCAUCCAGGAUCUAAAAAUGUAAACAGAAACAAUAAAGAAAACACAAAGGGAGGCAACCCUGGAGAUAGAAAACCUAGG